rnacentral:rRNA from 2 species
GAUCUCAAAUCAGGUAGGACUACCCGCUGAACUUAA